AUUGAACGCUGGCGGCAGGCCUAACACAUGCAAGUCGAGCGGAGCGGCGGACGGGUGAGUAAUACCUAGGAAUCUGCCUGGUAGUGGGGGAUAACGUAAGGAAACGGGCGCCAAUACCGCAUACUAUCAGAUGAGCCUAUGUCGGAUUAGCUAGUGGGUGGGGUAACGGCCUACAAUGCCGACGAUCCGUAACUGGUCUGAGAGGAUGAUCAGUCAAACGGGAACUGAGACUCGGUCCAGACUCCUACGGGAGGCAGCAGUGGGGAAUAUUGGACGAUGGGCGAAAGCCUGAGCCAGCCAUGGCGCGUGUGUGAAGAAGGUCUGCGGAUUGUAAAGUACUUUAAGUUGGGAGGCGUUACCAACAGAAUAAGCACCGGCUAACUUCGUGCCAGCAGCCGCGGUGAUUC
rnacentral:rRNA from 1 species